CCUACGGGAGGCAGCAGUGAGGAAUAUUGGUCAAUGGACGCGAGUCUGAACCAGCCAAGUAGCGUGAAGGAUGACUGCCCUAUGGGUUGUAAACUUCUUUUAUAUGGGAAUAAAGUUGUCCACGUGUGGAUUUUUGUAUGUACCAUAUGAAUAAGGAUCGGCUAACUCCGUGCCAGCAGCCGCGGUAAUACGGAGGAUCCGAGCGUUAUCCGGAUUUAUUGGGUUUAAAGGGAGCGUAGGCGGAUUGUUAAGUCAGUUGUGAAAGUUUGCGGCUCAACCGUAAAAUUGCAGUUGAUACUGGCAGUCUUGAGUGCAGUAGAGGUGGGCGGAAUUCGUGGUGUAGCGGUGAAAUGCUUAGAUAUCACGAAGAACUCCGAUUGCGAAGGCAGCUCACUGGAGUGUAACUGACGCUGAUGCUCGAAAGUGUGGGUAUCAAACA
rnacentral:rRNA from 1 species